ACAGUCAGCCAGCUGUUGGUCAUUUGUAACCUCUAUCAUAAUUAGGAAUAUUCACUUCUUCCAAUCAUUUCAGAAAAAGCUUGCUCUCUAACACCUUGCUAAUCCAAAAUAAGCAACAGCUGUGUCCCUAAACCCUAACCAUGAUCUACAUUGCUUUUUUGCCUUCCUGGUGCAGACCACACUGCAGUAGGCCUAGCAUGGCACAUCAAUGUACUUAGCAACUGAUUGUUGACUGAUUAUCAAGUAACUGAUUUCCUGACUCAUGAGCCAUGUCCUGUGCAAGUUUUGAGGGUUGAACCAAAAUAGUUAUUAACAAGACUGAUGGAGGAAGGGGGAACAGCAACCCAGAAUAUUUGGAGACCAGGAAACAGCUGGUGAAACAGUGAACAAGAUGAAGUGGCUCAAAUCUCUAGAAGGAUGUCUGGCUCCCUCAAGACUGUCCCCUGUUUCUCAGGGAUGAGCCUGAUGAGAAUAGAGGCGAGUCAAGGCCAGUACUGCUGCCACUGGGGGACAUACUUUUCAGAAUGUGGGAUUCAUAGAGCAGAACAUUGAAACCUGGGAGCUGAUGAAGAAACUGAGGUCCAGAGAAGUGCCCAAGGUCAGCUCAUAGCAAAGAGGACCAUGACUUAGAAUUGAUUUUCCUAAUCUGACACCAGAGUUGUCUAUCUGGUGUAAAAGUGCUCCAGGACUCCAAGGACAGCCUAUUCCUGUCUCUACACUGGUCCUCACAUUUGGGAGAAGCAGAAUGACUCUCCUUUGUUUUUUUUUGUUUUUUGUUGUUGUUGAGAAAAAAAUAAAAGAAAACAAAUAAUGUUAUGAAUUUUGCCU
rnacentral:lncRNA from 1 species